CUACAAUAAAGUUGAAGCUGCAUGAACUCAUAUUGAGUGUCAAGCUUCCCGUGCUACAGGAGGGUAGCCCUGGGGAACGUGGGGAGUUUCCCAACAUUUGGCUCCCGAACAAGGACCAAUGCGUAGCAUUUAUAAGGGUUGAUUAAGUAGGGACCCUACCUGGGUGGUGUGUGGUGACGGACUGCAUUUUCCUCCGUUGCAUUGUUGGCAGCGGAGAAGCCUUUUUGGCUUGCCAGGGGUAGCGGAUCCGGGGGCGGUUAAAGUCGUCGGCCGACGCGGUGCUCUCUUUGGCGGUCGCUGGAUUACGACGCGAGGAUGGAGCGGGAGCGAGGAAGGAAAAGUCCUCCUUCACCUCUUCAAAUUCAGUGAAAGAAGAAAUCGGGGCAGUUGAAGAAACAUCUUUUUUUGUGGGUUGCCUUCCUGUUGGAAAGGUCAGGCAGUUUAACAGCUCUCCCACCAUCUCCUGCUGUCAUUCCUCCUUAGGUGCUUCUUGCCUGUGAGGAGGAGGAAGGAGGGAAUGCAGAAGAAAGAAUGUGAUUUGGAAGGAGAAUUUAGAAGCAUGGGAAGGUUUCCCAGAAAUCCACUGCUUCAGACAUACCCCCUCCGCCCUCUAUUCUGUGGCACCAGGCAGCUCUCACUGUGUACCCUGUCUGUAGGCAGCUGAAGGGUUUUUGACACUUCAAAGAGGAGACAUAGCCUGGCUGGAGUCAUGUUAAGGAAAGUCAGUUUUAGGGGUGGGGUGAGACAUCUGCCUCUUCCACAGAUUUAUGGCUGCAGUGGAUGCUCCUGUCAUCCCUCACUGUGCACCUGCAGCUCCAGUCACUUCUCCACUGUUGUUAUUUCCAAACAAUAAUGGAUUUCAUCUGUCUCCUGGUGCAGUCUGGGGUUCCUCCAGGUGCACGCUCUGGCUCAUGAGAUAUCCUCUGGCCGAGAAUGGCCCUCUGCCUGCAGCCUGGACAUGUUUGUUUAAGAAGGACCUGCCAAGAAUAUAUAUUGUUUCGUAUUGCUGGUGUUUUUAUGUUGCAGAUAGCAGUAGAUAGCAUAGGCAAUGUUUUUAUUUGUGCUGCAAAGGUGGACAAACAGAUGGAGAGCCAAGGCCUGGCUAUUGCAGGGGUUGCUGAGGAAGAGGGAUUCUUAGCAAACUGAAGAUGGAAUUCCUACAGGUGGGUCUAUUGUCCUCAGAUCUUCCAGAUUCAACUGGAAUGUGAAUUCUGGAGCUAAGGGCUUGCACCAGCACGGCUCAUAUGUACCUGGAUACAGUUUGGGGUUAAUGUAGUACUUGCCACCUGGUGAGGGUUGCAAGGCUGUUCUGGAGCUUGCUGGUUAAAGCUGUUGAACUUGAAAUGAAAUCCAGACUACAGCGAAGCCUUUCACUUGUUUGGUCAGGGCCAGGACUGCCCUGUGUCACAGGUCAGCCUUCAGCAUAUGCCCAGAUAAAGCCACAGUGUUCCCAGAGGGGUGAUUUAUUGCCCUAGCCAUCCCGUGAUGGAGCACUUGCUACUGAGUUCUGUGAUUAGUGGAAGGGCAACAGAUCCUUAGGUACUCUGAUAAAUCUGCCACUUUCUACAUAGUCCUUCUAACUCAUAUUAUCUUUUGCUUUGUAAAGCUAUUUGUUUGCCACUGGCUGUGAGGGAUUGCUCCCAUCACCCAUUAAAGGAUUUAGCACCAGGACUCCAGGAAUCCCAGGUUCAGAGUAGGCUGGAGGUAAGCACUAAACUGAACAGCUUAGGAUAAUUAUGAUUGGAGAAGACCACUAAGAUUAUUGAGUCCAACCACUAAUCUACCCUCGCCAUGCCCACUAACCAUGUCCCUCAGUGCCACGUCUCCAUGUUUCUUGAACACCUUCUGAGUGACUCCACGACCUCGCUGGCAGUCUAUGCCAAUGCCUUAUCACUGUUUUGGAGAAGAAAUGUUUCCUAAUAUCCAAUCUGAACUUCCACUGGUGCAACUUGAGGCCAUUACCUCUCAUCCUUUCAUCCUACCUUCACCAUGCAUCCAUCUUCACAAACAGAACAAAGGAAAGGAGGCAAUCUGGCAGCUCUGCAGAAUUCAACAAUCUGUUAAGACCUUGUUAGGGAAAUAUAUUAGAAAUGCAAAAUACAAGGCAAAUCUUUUUUCCUUACUGCUGCGGCCAGAUGGUUAGUGCACAGAUAGAGGAAGACAAAUCUGAGAUUUAGGACAAAAUGACCACUUGCCCUGGAUUUUGUAACACAGUUAAAAUCUUGUCUUCAUACAUAUGCUAUAGUGCGUUGCAUAAACCCUGGAGAGUAGUUCUGCUCCUGCUGCAUGGGAAAACCAGAUAAUAAACAAGCUAACUGGGCUGGAUCCAUCUAAGUGUUGCUCAGUAAUCUGCAGGAGACUCUCAGUGCAUCAAAGGCUGAAGAACAUUAGAGCAACAGUUAGGCUUUCAAAUAUCUUUAAAAAUAGAAUUUGAAGUGCCUGGUUAUUUGUUUAGUGUUGGGGUUCAGACUCUCCGAAAUCAUGCUAGCAAAAAUUUCUAUUUUAUGUGUGUGUUUAGAUACUGUCACAUAUGCAGACUUGUACUUGAACCGUGGCAGAGGAGACAGCAGUGAGCUGUACAGCCAGGGGUACAAUGCUGUGACCUGCUGAUUCCCUGUGGCUGGGCUGGGGGAUGAUGGAUCCUCUGUGCUCAUUGGUUUUCCCUCUGGAUGCACAGUAUCUGACCCAAGCAGUGCUGUCAUCUGCUGGAACAUGUCUCUUCACAGUGGCAGGCAGUGACUCUCCUUUUUCCACCUGCAAGAUGGCGCGUUUCAGAUGAAAUUGCUAUGCAUAGUGCAGGACAAAAUAUUUUUCCCAUUGUGUUGGAAUGCAUCUAGAGAAGGGAAACUGUGCUUCGGGUAUGAAAAAAAGGAAAUAACAAUGUAGGGCUGGCUGCAGUGCAGCAAGGGAAACAAAACACACCAGGAGAGGCAUCCUGAAGUAUGCUUCCUGCAUGUACUGAAUGCUUUAAAACAUGAUGCUUUUCCUUUCAAAAACAGUGAACCCACUGGCAUCACGAUCCCUUAUUUUUUUGGGUCGAGUGAUACAUUCCUGUCUUCAUAGGACACUUUGCUGCAGCUGAGAUGGCAUUCAGCUGUCGUUACUAUGACAAACAGAGAAGAACUGGCAUGUGAUGGGUUUGGAUGAAUAUGCAAUCAAGUUUUGUGAGAAAAAUAUCUAUAAAAAUGAAUCAGAUGCUGCCUUGCCAUCUACUGUGCACUCAGUGGUCCAUGGUACUGAAAAUCAGCAAUGUUUAUAAAGAUUUCAUGGGUCGGUAUAAAAACAUACUGCAUUUGACUAUGUAAUUUCAUAGGAUGUUUUUCAGCUUGUGUUCCUUUACAAGAAAAAAUUAAAAAAUCCUUUAUUGAUUAUUUAUUUUCAUGUAGAAAAUGUUUUCAGGCUCGCCAAAGAUGAGAACACAAUGUAAUAUUUGAUUAAAAUUCUUUAUUAUUGUAUCUUGUUUCUCCAAGAGGAAGAAUGUACUGUUAUUCCCAGAACUUGGUUAGAAUAGCAAACCCGUCUCCACAGGAUGACCCUGCAGCAAGCAUCUUCUUUCACAUGCCCAGACAUCGGUCAACACAAGGGGACUAAAACAGGACACACAGUGGGGCACGUGGCAUUAAAGACGAUUCUAAAGACAAUUCAUUAUUCUGUUACUCUUGGUGGUAAUAUUUUUGUUUCUUCCUCAGGAGGCCUCAAGCUGGAUGGCGGGCUGGGGGCACAGUAGGCACAUUCCUUACAUGAAAUAAAAUGCAGUCUCUGUCUAAAGAAUUGUUACUAAAGGAGAAAAUAUGCAGGGAAGAAGAGCUAAGGAUCCAUGAAAAGACACAGAAGUAUGAAGCAGGUUGACUGUGUGUACCUAGUGACAAAGUUCAAAUCUCCUAAAGGUUUUAAAGUAUCUGUUUGACUCGUAAGUGCCUAAAGUUAUCAGGCACUGUCAAAUGUCUAAUAGUUUGAUGGUGAUAGAACAAGGGGAAAUGGCUUUAAACUAAGAGAGGGGAGAUUUAAAUCAGAUGUUAGUGUGAAAUUCUUUACUCAGGAGGUGUUUCGGCACUGGCAUUGCUGCCUGGAGAGCUGUGGUGCCCCAUCCCUGGAGCUGCUCAAGGCUGGGUUGGAUGGGGCCCUGGGCAGCCUGAGCUGCUGGGGGGCAACCAGUCCAUGGCAGGAGGUUGGAACUGGAUGCACUUUCAGGUUUCUUCCAAUCUAAGCCAUUCUAUGAUUCUAUGAUACAUGACUUGGAAGUAUCUUUUGAUACUUGGUAUGGAUUCAGCAAGGAGAGUGUACUUCCUUUGCCUCUUGUCUCAUCAAAUCUCUAGCAGGGAAUCUGGACUCAGAUGCUUGCAUUCAGAGGGAUGUGGGGAGCCUGUCCACCCUGUGCACACUGCUGGCCUGCACAGCUGAGUGACGUCAACAAAAUCAGAAAGGAUAUAUGAUGAGAAUAUGCAGAUAGUAAAUGAGCUGUGAUGUAACCCUCUUUAUUAUUUUUCUAGAUUUCUUCACAAAGACUGUUCUCCAAGGAGGGAGACCUGAAUAUUAGUUUACCAGUCUCUGCCAUAGCUGCAUUCUCAAGACCAAAGACAUAUAUUUGGAUGUCUCACACCAUAACUAAUAAAUAAUCAGAGAAGCAUAGACUAUCCCAAGUUGGAAGGGAUCCACAAAGAUCACUGAGGCCAACUCCUGGUUGCACAAAAGACCACCCAAAAUCCAAACCCAGCGUCUGAGGGUGGUGUCCAAACAUCCCUUGAGCUCCAGCAGCUCGGGGCUGUGCCCACUGCCCUAGGCAGCCUGUUCCAUGCCCACCACUCUCUGGUGCAGGACCUUUCCCUGAUAUCCAAUCUGAACCUCUCCUGAAUUGCAAGCCCUUGUACAAAUUUGGACCUAUGUGUCUGAGAACAAAGCUUUAGUGAUGAAGCUGAUGUUUGCUCAGACUUUUCACACCUCGGUUGAGUGGCAAUGUGGAACAUUUAUAAUGCUUUUCUAUCUCGGGUUGUAGUCAAAGUGAUCUAAAAGUCAGUGAGUCUAACUACCAGCAGAGGAAGGAUGGAUGUUCUUGAUUAUUUUACAGUUAGCAGCUUUUAGUAAAUUGUUUUUGCAUUACAAGUUGUUUUUCUCUGCAUGUCUUCUGCAAAAUUACCUCUGAAACUUCCAGUGAUGAAGUAGAGAUCUGGUUUUUAGCAGAAACUGCCAAUUGCUAUUUGAUACUAGACAUUUUACUGCUCUUUCUGUGAGCAGUUAUGUUUGAACUGCAGCAGUCCAACCAUUGGUCAUAAUGAACAGUGUAGUUCAGGGAGGUAUUGCAUCUAGAACCCUUCACAGGCAACAGGUCUGGAUGACACGCAGUAAAAACUGAGUGGGUCAGCAUUUUGCAAACAGUUACUUAAAUGGAAUUUAGUGUGUAAGGAGUCAUCUCAGCGAUAGAAAAUAUUGAAGAAAUGUUACAUGGCGUUUUUACAAUGAGAAAAGUUGAAGGAAAAUUAUGGGUCCUUGAUUCCUCCAACAUUUUGGGCAUGUCAUCAGCUGCAUGAAUGGCUGUACCGCUAAGGGUAGGAAGUUUGACGGAUUGUGUGGCCCAGCACUUCAGAGCAGGAGACAAUGCUCCUUCCCGAUGGUUUAACAUCACCUGUAAUGUCUCCUACCAGUGACUGAGUAAUUACAAAUGCAAAGUUGCUUGUGUUAUCCAUUUGUGUUCAUCUGGAAGCAUAGGCAGCCUGUCGCUGCUGCAAUUGAUACCUGGAAUGAUGGGAAAGUGGCCACUGCUGCAUAAAUGAAGACUAUGUAAGUGGAAAAAGAAGAAACAGAAAAGGAGAGGAAAGCAUCCCUGGAAAAAGAUGUGAACCGCUGUAGCAAGGGAGGAAAAUCAGCUGCAGAAAUGAGCCUCAAGCAGAAAUCAAGGAAAAAAACAACUAGAGACAGCAAACAGAACAAACAUCCUAUGAAUGAUUUGGGUGCAUGAACUUAAGAGUGGAACCUACAUCAAGACCUGCAGUCUCCAGCUUCCUGAGACUUGUCCAGGGCAUGGGGCUGUGCAUUGCUGCCUGGUUUUGUACAGAUGUCUGUAUCCACAGCAGCUGGCACACUGCAAGGUCUGCUUUUCUCCUGGCUGCUGCUCAGUUGUGCCUACCUGUACUCAGCACCUUGGCAGUGCCCAUGUUUUGAAGAUUCCUGGACCAGGAGUCUUGAAAUAUUGCCAGGGUGCUGUCUGAAAUCACUGCCACUCAAAAAUAGAUGUAGUAAUAGUGAAUGGGUGA